rnacentral:tRNA from 1 species
CUAGAGACAGAGGGUAGCGCCCCUCCUUAAUGGC